GUCGAGCGAUGAAACUUCUUCGGAAGUGGAUUAGCGGCGGACGGGUGAGUAACACGUGGGCAACCUGCCCUAUAGAGGGGAAUAGCCUUCCGAAAGGAAGAUUAAUACCCCAUAAGAUUGUAGCUUCACAUGGAGCAGCAAUUAAGGGAGCAAUCCGCUAUAGGAUGGGCCCGCGGCGCAUUAGCUAGUUGGUGAGGUAACGGCUCACCAAGGCGACGAUGCGUAGCCGACCUGAGAGGGUGAUCGGCCACAUUGGGACUGAGACACGGCCCAGACUCCUACGGGAGGCAGCAGUGGGGAAUAUUGCACAAUGGGGGUAACCCUGAUGCAGCAACGCCGCGUGAGUGAUGAAGGCCUUCGGGUUGUAAAGCUCUGUCUUUGGGGACGAUAAUGACGGUACCCAAGGAGGAAGCCACUGCUAACUACGUGCCAGCAGCCGCGGUAAUACGUAGGUAGCAAGCGUUGUCCGGAUUUACUGGGCGUAAAGGGAGCGUAGGCGGACUUUUAAGUGGGAUGUGAAAUACUCGGGCUCAACCUGAGUGCUGCAUUCCAAACUGGAAGUCUAGAGUGCAGGAGGGGAAAGUGGAAUUUCCUAGUGUAGCGGUGAAAUGCGUAGAUAUUAGGAAGAACACCGGUGGCGAAAGCGAUUUUCUGGACUGUAACUGACGCU
rnacentral:rRNA from 1 species